UAAUAGAUGAGUCAAUGCAGCAUGAUAAUUCCAUCAUUUAAUUAAGAAGCGAUGCCAUAUUUAACAACUUACUAAAAUUGCAAUUUAUGAUGCAUAUGAGAAAUUUAAAAACCAAAGUGCUAAUUAUUGGUGU